CUCGACAGCAGCUUCCCCUGCGUUCUCAAUUCCAUUCUUGAAACUUAUUAUCGUCCUUAUCCGGAACCACUGAUGUCACCGCUAUAGAGGUGAUUGGGAUAGGCGCGAUUGUCAUUGUUGUUGCUGCCCCAGAAGAAGUGAGGCUGCUGCUGCUGUUCCGGCCGCAUUGGCUGUUGUAAACUGGGAAAAAGAAAGGGAUCGUUGCGUUUAAAUUUGAUGGUUUCGACUAAUUGAGUGACACAGGUUCAAAGACUCGAUUUGAAGCUGCGGGAAAUUAUAGAAUUUA